rnacentral:lncRNA from 1 species
ACACAAACAGCUGAAAGAAUCUUCACUCAUUCCUCAUUAUUCCUCCUCUGAUCCUUCCCUACUCUAAGACUCAGCUCUGUCUCGGGAAGCUCAAUGCCAGGCUGCUGCCGCCUUCUUAGAGACCUUCUGCUCCUGUGCUGCUGCCUCCGCUUUUCUUCUUCUUGCUGCCGCUGCUUUAUCUUCAUCAGCUUUUCAAAGCUUUUGGUUGUUGUUGGGUUUACAACGAACCAGUCCUAGAGAGGCAAAAUAGAAAUGUCAUCCAGUCGAAAAUAUAGUGAAGAACAUAAAGAAAGGUGGAGGAAGAAUGGAAAAAAGGCAUGAUUAGGGCAGAACACAGUAAGAAGGAAACAGAUAUGGAACCAUACCUCAGGAUUCUAUAUUUUAAGAUGGAGAAAUCCAACACAGAGCAGCUAUUACAAGCACAUAUUUUGUAAGGCGUAAUUCUAGGGACUUUAAUAAAUGAUCUACAAAGUCUGUUUACUUAGCAUCAUCCCACUCUUAUAUCUCCUGAGUAUAAAUCUCAUCAUGAGAUGUAACACACUGAGCCAUAGGAGAUUUUUAUUCCAUGACGGCAUCGUAACUAAGAGCAUAAAUUUUGCAGCCAGACCCCCUGGGUGCAAAUCCCAGCUCUGUUUCUAGAUACGUGACCAUGGGCGAAUUACUUAACAUUUUCGAGGCUCACUUUAAAAAAUUAAGGGGUAGGGGACAUGAAAUCCAAUUAUGAAGUAUUUUUGCCAAAAAAGAAAGAACUUCAAUCUUAUCAAGUGAUCUGUUCAAUCUUCUAAAUCUACCAAUUCAUAGGAAAAGCCAGAAUAGGGAGUUGAGCCCAAUCUCUCUGCCCCACUGCAAGACUCCACUGCAGUGGUCCCUGUACCUCAAAAACAAACAACAACAACAAAAAGCAAAAAAGGAAAUGGCCAGAAUACAGGAAUACUAUCAUAGGGUGCAAUCAGCAAAAUUCCAGAAUGUGGGUACAUGUAUGUGACAAGUGAUCCGGUUUCUUCAAUAAAUGGCAAAUUUGUAAAAAAGAAGAGGAAGCUUUUAGUCUUGCACCAUGCAAUGAGAUAGCCACUAGCCACAUAUGGUAAGUGAUGUGUUUAAAUGUGAGUAGAACAAAUUAAGAUAUGCUUUCAUGUAAAAUAUACAACAAAUCUCAAAGACUUGUUAUGAAAAAAAUGUAAAAUAUCUCAAUAAUUUAUUGAUUUAAUGUUAAAAAUAAUUUUAGAUAUAUUGGGCUUAAUAAUUAUUAACAUUAAUUUCAUCUUUUAAAAUACUUUUUUAAUGUGGCUACUAGAAAAUUUUAAAUUAUAUACAUGGCUCACAGUACUUUUUUUGGAUAGUGCUGCUCUAGAUUAAAACAAACAAAUGCAAUAUUUAGACCUUGUUUUAGAUCCUAAUUUGAAAAAUCAACUCUGAAAAAACAUUAUAAGAUAAUCAGGGAAAUUUAAAUAAUAACUAGACAUAUGAUAAUAUUAAAAUUCUUAACUUUUUUAGGUAUAAUGAUGUUUGUGGUCAUAUGUUUUCAAAAGUCCUUAUCUCUUACAGAUAUAUAUUGAAAGAAGCACUUACAGCUGAAAUUUUAUGUGGAAUUUGCUUUAAAGUAAGCCUUUAAGGGAGGAGAAAAGUGAGGUUAUAAAUGACACAAGAUUGGCCAUACACUGAUGAUUGCUGAGGAUGGCUGACAGCAUACUGGGUUCAUUAUGCUAUUUUCUCUACUUUCAUGUGUUUGAAAUUUUCUGUUAAAAAAAAAAAAGUAGUGUAAGAAAAUGUGAUGGAGGGAGGAAGAAACAGGGUAAAGAUGUUUUACCACCCACAAAAUUCAUAGAGGCAUAAAUCAAUAAACAAAUGCCUGGGAGCAUGCCCCAAACCAAGUGAAAUUUGUUGGUUCCAAUUCUUUUGAUUUUAACUUUUUAGGAAGAAAAUAGACAAACCAUUUAACUAUAUAAAGGCCAGAUUUUGUCAGGAGAUAAUUACCUUUUUUUUUUAACAGAGUCUUGCUCUGUUGCCCAGGCUGGAGUGCAGUGGCGCAAUCUCGGCUCACUGCAACCUCCGUCUCCUGGGUUCAAGCAAAUCUCCUGCCUCAGCCUCCCAAGUAGCUGGGAUUACAGGUGCCCGCCACCACACCCAGCUAACUUUUUAGUAGAGAUGGGGUUUCACCAUGAUGGCCAGGCUGGUCUUGAACUCCUGACCUCAGGUGAUCUGCCCGCCUCGGCCUCCCAAAGUGCUGGGAUUACAGGCGUGAGCCACCGUGCCCAGCCGAUAAUUACCUUUUAAAUACUUCCUAAAGCAAAAAAAGAUAUGCUAUUAUUACUAAAAAGAUAUGACUGCCUUCAGAAGACAUCUCAGGCUUUGGUUAGGGAUUCUGAAAGCUUAUGCCAGUAAAGCAACAGAAACCAAAUUUUAUGGAAGUAAUUAAAGCUCACAUUGUUAAGUACUAUCAAAUUUGAGGGCAGAAAAUAAAUAAAGGUGUUCCCUUUAUUUUUCCACAUCAGGCAGCAAUAGUUUCUGCAGUGAGAUAUUCCAAGAGAAUGCAAAUUGUAUUCCUAAGCUGUUGUAGUAGGACUAUUUAAUUAUAUCAUAAACGAUUUCUCUGUUCACCUGUAUUACUAAAAAACCUUCCCCAAGAGAAAACCCUUGACCUUCUGAACUUUAAAGCAUUUUUAUACACAAUUUUAAAAUUUUAUUUUGAAAAAUUACAAACCUUCAGAAAAGUUGCAACAGUUCAAUGAACAAUCAAAUUUACCACUGUUAAUUUCUUUCCUUCCUCUCUUCCUUCUUCCCUCCUUCUUUCUUUUGCUGAACUAUGUGCAAAUUAGUUGCAGACAUCAUAAUACUUCAUCCCUAAACACUUUGGCAUAUAUCUGCCUAAGAACAAGGGCAUUCUCCUGCAUGACUACAACUAUCACCUUUGGGAAUGUUAACACUGACACAAUACUAUUAUUUAAUACAGUCAGCAUUCAAAUUUCCCCAACUGUCUCAAUAAUGUCCUUUAGUUGUUUUAUCCAGUAUUUUAAACAGCGUUAAAAAUGGGUUGCUGGAAGACAUUAGAAUGCUAGAAGGCAUGAAUGUAUAGAGAUCACUGUGAAAUAAGAAUUUCAAACAUGUAAACUCAAUCUGGUUCCCAAACAUUUGACUUAAUUGGAUUUAAAGGAAUUAGAAGAGUUCAGGCCGGGCAUGGUGGCUCACACCUGUAAUCCUAGCACUUUGGGAGGCCAAGGCGAGUGAAUCACCUGAAGUCAGGAGUUCAAGACCAGCCUGGCCAACGUGGCAAAACCCCAUCUCUACUGAAAAUACAAAAAUUAGCCAGGCAUGGUGGCAGGUGCCUGUAAUCUCAGCUACUCAGGGAGUAUUGCUUGAACCCGAGAGGUGGAGGUUGCAGUGAGCCCUCCAGAUUGGGCAACAGAGCGAGACUCCGUCUAAAAAAAAAAAAAAAAAGAGUUCAAGGAUGCUUACAGUCACAGUGAUUUUUUUUUUUUUUUUGAGUCAGGAUCUCUGUUGCCUAGGCUGGAGUGCAGUAGCGCAACCAGCUCACUGCAGCCUCAAACUCCUGGGUUCAAGUGAUCCUCCUGCCUUGGCCUCCCAAAGUGCUGGGAUUAGAGGCAUAAGCCACCCCGCCCACCCCUCACAGUGACUUCAAAUACUUUCACAGAAAAAUACAAUUAUAUAUCUAAGUUUAGAGAAUAUUUUAACUCUAAUGGCUCUGGUAACCACUUUAGAGAUACUUUCCUUGACAGCCUUAGUCCAUAACAAUAGGGACAAAGUCUACCUCUCUUGUGGCUUACAUAUCAGGCCCACAGGA